rnacentral:rRNA from 1 species
AUGCCGCCAGCCUCCUCCUCUGUACCCCUCCUCUUACCAUGCCGCCGACCUCCUCCUCUCCGCCUCUCCUUGUCGGUCGUCGCUCCAAUUCAUGGACCUCCUUGCCGCGGUUGUAGUGGUCGAACAAGACGAAGAGGAGCUGCAGCAUCGGGUCGGUGCAGCGGCCGGCUGCAGGGGCCUCGGUGGAAGAGACCAUCGAUGGCCGUGGACGGCACGGAUGACGACCAGCUGGUCUCAAUAUCCACGGAGGACGUCGUCCGGGCCUCCCGCCUUGUCAACAACGAGAUCCGCGUCCUCGAGGACCUAACGGUGCUGAAAACAUACCUACCGAUGGAGAGAAGGGCACAAGAGGGACCGCUGAGCAUAAUGAUUCCAUAA